UAAUCUCUUCAGGGCGGGGUGGAAGUCCCCACCGGUGGUGACAGCCCACGAACCAAUUUCGCUUGGUAAGAUCUGGUGUGAAUCCAGAGCCGACGGUAUAGUCCGGAUGAAAGAAGAGUGGA
rfam:Dialister sp. CAG:357 genomic scaffold, scf252